AUGGCGGCCUUUCGAGAUGUGCUCAUGACGUGUGAAUUGGUGGAUCUGGGCUUCAUUGGAGUACCUUACACCUAUGAUAAUAUGCGAGCAGCGGCUGCUAAUGUACGUGUGCGCCUGGAUCGUGCAGUUUCUACCAAUGAAUGGAGGAAUUUAUUUGCAUUCUCUUCGGUACAUCACCUGGCCUCUCCUUGUUCUGAUCAUGUGCCUCUUCUCCUGAAACUUUCUGCUGAACAGGAGAACCCACGAGCAAAGGCAAGGAGAUAUGAGAUUUUUUGGGAACGAGAUGCAGGGCUCCCGGACUUUAUAAGGAAUACAUGGGAUGCUUUUGGCACUAUGGAAAAUCUGGGAAAAGUAAAUGAGGCACUAAGAUCUACCAUGACAGCACUCAAAUCAUGGAGUAACCGG
rnacentral:rRNA from 1 species